rnacentral:rRNA from 1 species
CUACGGAGGGUGCGAGCGUUGUUCGGAAUUAUUGGGCGUAAAGAGCAUGUAGGCGGUCUGUUAAGUCUGGUGUGAAAGCCCGGGGCUCAACCCCGGAAGUGCAUUGGAUACUGGCAGACUUGAGUAUGGGAGAGGAAAGCGGAAUUCCGAGUGUAGGAGUGAAAUCCGUAGAUAUUCGGAGGAACACCAGUGGCGAAGGCGGCUUUCUGGACCAAUACUGACGCUGAGAUGCGAAAGCGUGGGGAGCAAACAGGAUUAGAUACCCCAGUAGUCC